AUUGAACGCUGGCGGCAGGCUUAACACAUGCAAGUCGAACGAGUGGCGGACGGGUGAGUAAUGUAUGGGAAACUGCCUGAUGGAGGGGGAUAACUACUGGAAACGGUAGCUAAUACCGCAUACCAUCAGAUGUGCCCAGAUGGGAUUAGCUUGUUGGUGGGGUAACGGCUCACCAAGGCGACGAUCCCUAGCGGGUCUGAGAGGAUGACAGUCCACACUGGAACGGAGACACGGUCCAGCCUCCUACGGGAGGCAGCAGUGGGGAAUAUUGCACAAUGGGCGCAAGCCUGAUGCAGCCAUGCCGGGUGUAUGAAGAGGGCCUUCGGGUGGUAAAGUACUUUCAGCGGGGAGGCGUUACCCGCAGAAGAAGCACCGGCUAACUCCGUGCCAGCAGCCGCGGUAAUAC
rnacentral:rRNA from 1 species